rnacentral:rRNA from 1 species
GGUGAUCUGCCCUGCACUUUGGGAUAAGCCUGGGAAACUGGGUCUAAUACCGAAUAGGACUACGCGAUGCAUGUCGUGUGGUGGAAAGCUUUUGCGGUGUGGGAUGGGCCCGCGGCCUAUCAGCUUGUUGGUGGGGUGAUGGCCUACCAAGGCGACGACGGGUAGCCGGCCUGAGAGGGUGUCCGGCCACACUGGGACUGAGAUACGGCCCAGACUCCUACGGGAGGCAGCAGUGGGGAAUAUUGCACAAUGGGCGCAAGCCUGAUGCAGCGACGCCGCGUGGGGGAUGACGGCCUUCGGGUUGUAAACCCCUUUCAGCACAGACGAAGCGCAAGUGACGGUAUGUGCAGAAGAAGCACCGGCCAACUACGUGCCAGCAGCCGCGGUAAUACGUAGGGUGCGAGCGUUGUCCGGAAUUACUGGGCGUAAAGAGCUCGUAGGUGGUUUGUCGCGUUGUUCGUGAAAACUCACAGCUCAACUGUGGGCGUGCGGGCGAUACGGGCAGACUGGAGUACUGCAGGGGAGACUGGAAUUCCUGGUGUAGCGGUGGAAUGCGCAGAUAUCAGGAGGAACACCGGUGGCGAAGGCGGGUCUCUGGGCAGUAACUGACGCUGAGGAGCGAAAGCGUGGGGAGCGAACAGGAUUAGAUACCCUGGUAGUCCACGCCGUAAACGGUGGGUACUAGGUGUGGGUUUCCUUCCUUGGGAUCCGUGCCGUAGCUAACGCAUUAAGUACCCCG